rnacentral:rRNA from 1 species
CAAUAGCGUAUAUUAAAGCUGUUGCGGUUAAAAAGCUCGUAGUUGGAUUUCUGUCAAGGACAACUGGUCCGCCCUCCGGGUGAGCACAUAGUUUGGUCUUGGCAUCUUGCUGGAAACUGUUGCUGCGCUUGGUUGUGUGGUGCAGCUUUCAGCACUUUCACUUUGAGGAAAUUGGAGUGUUUCAAGCAGGCACAUGCCUUUGGACACAGUAGCAUGGAAUAAUUAGAUUGGGCUUUUGCUCCAACUUGUUGGUUCCUGGAGCUGAGGUGAGAAUCAAUGGGGAUUGUUGGGGGCAUCCGAAUUUAGCCGUCAGAGGUGAAAUUCUUGGAUCUGCUAAAGACGGACAACUGCGAAAGCGUUCGCCCAGGAUGUUUUCAUUGA